GGCUGGUUUGAUGGUAGUGGGUUAUCAGAACUUAUUAACAUUAGUGUCACUAAAGUUGGUGUAUAACCUCUCACUGCUAAAUUUGGCUUAAA
rnacentral:Y_RNA from 1 species